UUAACCCUUUACUACUAGACAAGUGUGUGUAACUGGUGUGUUAGAUGUACUGGUCUGGGAAGGUCAGAGAGUUAACCUUUUACCACUAGACAAGUGUGUGUAACUGGGAUGUUAGAUGUACUGGUCUGGGAAGGUCAGCGAGUUAACCCUUUACCACUAGACAAGUGUGUGUAACUGGGAUGUUAGAUGCACUGCUCUGGGAAGGUCAGAGGAGUUAACCCUUUACCAGUAGACAAGUGUGUGUAACUGGGAUGUUAGAUGCACUGGUCAUGGAAGGUCAGAGAGUUAACCCUUUACCACUAGACAAGUGUGUGUAACU